AUUACGGUAGCAAAGUUGGUAAUUAAUGCAAAAGGUCUAAACCCUUUGACCAGAGGUUCAACUCCUCUCCAUAAUA
rnacentral:tRNA from 1 species